UACGGAGGAUCCAAGCGUUAUCCGGAAUCAUUGGGUUUAAAGGGUCCGUAGGCGGUCUUAUAAGUCAGUGGUGAAAUCUCUCCGCUCAACGGGGAAACGGCCAUUGAUACUGUAAGACUUGAAUUAUUGGGAAGUAACUAGAAUAUGUAGUGUAGCGGUGAAAUGCUUAGAUAUUACAUGGAAUACCGAUUGCGAAGGCAGGUUACUACCAAUGGAUUGACGCUGAUGGACGAAAGCGUGGGGAGCGAACAGG
rnacentral:rRNA from 1 species